ACGAAUGGAAUUGAACACGAUUGUACAAAGAAAGAUUUCCAACUGAGUGGAUUUGGUAAAUAUUUCCCAGAUGAUGAUUUUGGAAAGACGCAUUGUGACCGGAACGCCCCUGACGGUGUUGAAAAAUAUGUUUUCCAAAAUAUUGAUCGGGAUCCCACUAAGUUUAUAAGAUGUGAUGCCAAUGGGAACGCGUUUGUUACUCAAUGUCCUUUGGGGCAUGAGCGGAAUUGGACUGAUUAUACAUUUUCAUGUGGUACACUCAAACGCCCACCACUUAAAUCAACAGAUUAUUUACCGACGGUUAAUGAGAGUCGGAACACGAAUCCAACUGACGAAACUAAAGAUAUCGUCGAUACUUUCGCUGAUUUUUACAAACUGAUUAAUGAGGUUUUCAACAAAACAAUGCGGAGUGAAGUUGUGUGUCGUAGAUAUGGUCAAGAGGUCAACUGUACACUAUUUGAUAUUCAGAUCAGUGAAUACAGUAAAUAUCUGGUUAAAGAUUCGUGGAAUGGCGUACCAAAUCCAUGUGACCCGAAUGCUAAUUUCAGAUCCGAUAAGGGGAAUUUAUUGAAGGAAAAUCCCCUUGACGUCAGAAAGUUUAUUAUUUGUACAAAGCAAGAUAAUAUCAUGUAUGUUACUCAAUGUCCAAAGGAUUUACAUUAUUUCCCUGAUGACUUUGAGUGUCGUCCAUCAAAUCGAGAUGCAAGCCCCCCAUAAAAUAAUUGUAAACAAAGUUGUUGACAUGAUUAAUAAUAUGCUAGUGUGAUUAAUCAAGGAAGUUGAUUUCAUCUAGAAUGUAAAGAUGUUUUAUUUGGAAAUUCCCAGUAGCCCCAGAAGAUAUAUUUACAAAAAUUAUCCUCCAACAUUUGUCUCUUAAAAACUGAUUGUAAAAAAAGUCACAUUUUAAAGAUACAUUAUGUAAGAUUUAGAUAAAGAGUUGAUCGUUCUUACUGUAAUAUUUCACAAAUAGAUAAUGCAAAAUGAAUAUAUUGUUUAUUAUGGUAACAACGGUACUUAGCGUAGAUUCGCCCUUAGCCUUGUUUCACCCUUUUUAAAUUAAAUUAUUAAAUGGCGACCGUCUUUUAAUCCGUAUAAAUCUCCGCCAUCCGAUCGAGUUGAUAUAGGUUUGUCAUGUGAUUAAAUGUCUAAAUAAUAGCCUAUAUAACAUGUAAAGCCAAAAUAAGACAGAUUUGGCUUUUAAAGAAUGCUUCUUUAACUGUUCUUUAUAGAAUAAAACACAUUACAUCGUGCAUCAUUGGCUAUACUCUUAAAGGAGUCAAACUUCUAACUGAACAAUUUUCAGUUAUAUUUCAAAUAAAAAAAAACCGAAAAAGUCAAUUUCAAUCAAUGUUGAUGUUGUUAACUUGCUGUGAAAUAUGGGAUCCUAAAAUCCAUUAUUUAAGACACGAUGAACAUUUCACAAUCAGUAUGGUUCCAGAAACCAUUUGUAAUGAACAUGGAAAAAUGUGACAAAGUGAUCUAUACCUUUCAUCAAAUUGAACGAUCAUUUAGGUGCAUAGAUCUUUAUGACCUCUGCUGGUUUUGAUAAUAUAUGAUAUUGACGUUUCAACUCUGCAUAAACUUCUGUUAAGGCACGGACUGACUACGAUCUUAUUAAACAUCUAAUUAAUUCAAUAUGUCCUUUACAAACUACACAUGAUCUGUGUGUAACACUCGGCAGAAUUUUAUGACUUCAAAAGAAAUACGCAGUGCAGUUACAGAUACCAUAAUCUGAUAAAUAAACAAUACCAUAUAUGUUGAUUCAUUCUUGUCCAUUUUCCCUGAUUGUUGGACGCUAUAUAAGCAAGGGUUUGCUGACAGUAAGUCGGACUUGGAAUAGAGCUCCUCCCGAUUUAUGUCUAUGUUCUUAAUAAAGGUCUUAUCAAUUACGCUGAUCUUCUGUUAUCGGUAGUGUUACAGAUAAUACCCGACAAGAUUAAUUAGAAAUUACAUUAAUUCUUUUACAAAAUAAAUAAAAAGAACUGAUACACAUUCAUAUUAUAUAAAUAUGUGUAUUUUGACCCAAUUCCGUCUUUCUAUAAUUCCAAUGAAUAAAGCCAUGUACCAAUUAAGAACAAAUUGAAAGUAGGGUUAUUGUAAAAGCUUAAUUGUUCUUCAUAGAACCAUUCACUUGUAUUAUACAAUUAUAUGUCCUUUCUUCAGUUGUAAUAUUCUUUCUAUUUUUGUAUUAUUAUUUCCUAUGUAACAUAUUCUUUUUUGUAAUGUUCUUUUUAGUUGUAUUAAUCCCUCCUUUAUUGUGAUAUUCUUUCAAUUCUCGAUUUAAUUUAAUGACCUUCGUGACUAUAUAUGUUGCAAUAUUAAUACUAUUAAUUAAUCAUUUCCGAUUCCCUUUUAUAGAAUAUCCGACACCUUCCAAUAUUGAAACAUAUUUGGCUAUUUUUCAAUAACACGUGUAAUUUGACUUAUUAUAAGAAUUUGGGUUAAUUGGAAACGUUUUAUACAGAUAGAGAUUUAGAAUUGAAUGUUGGAUAUUCUUUCUGACGGGUAAAUCAGCUAUAUUUUAAAAUAUUAUAUUCACUUUAAAGUCUCUAGCGUGAAGGCAUUAAAAACUAAUGUCAAAGUAACUAUUCUCAUAAUAUGUGUUUGCUUUCAGCGUGUUGUCAAAUUGGGGUAAAUUGUUAUUUGAUUACAAUCAAUUUCAAGUGUAACUUUAUCGUAAAAUAGUAAUUAAUUUUCAGAAAAAUUUUAUAUGUUGAUUUUAUUUAU